rnacentral:rRNA from 1 species
UACGUAGGGUGCAAGCGUUAAUCGGAAUUACUGGGCGUAAAGCGUGCGCAGGCGGUUAUGUAAGACAGAUGUGAAAUGCCCGGGCUUAACCUGGGAACUGCAUUUGUGACUGCAUGGCUAGAGUUUGGCAGAGGGGGGUAGAAUUCCACGUGUAGCAGUGAAAUGCGUAGAUAUCGGAAGGAACACCAGUGGCGAAAGCGGCUUCCUGGUCCAGCACCGACGUUCAGGCACGAAAGCGUGGGGAGCAAACAGG